rnacentral:rRNA from 1 species
UUGAACGCUGGCGGAAUGCUUUACACAUGCAAGUCGAACGGCAGCACGGGGCAACCUGGUGGCGAGUGGCGAACGGGUGAGUAAUACAUCGGAACGUGCCCAGUCGUGGGGGAUAACGUAGCGAAAGUUACGCUAAUACCGCAUACGAUCUAAGGAUGAAAGCGGGGGAUCGCAAGACCUCGCGCGAUUGGAGCGGCCGAUGUCAGAUUAGGUAGUUGGUGGGGUAAAGGCUCACCAAGCCGACGAUCUGUAGCUGGUCUGAGAGGACGACCAGCCACACUGGAACUGAGACACGGUCCAGACUCCUACGGGAGGCAGCAGUGGGGAAUUUUGGACAAUGGGCGAAAGCCUGAUCCAGCCAUUCCGCGUGCAGGAUGAAGGCCUUCGGGUUGUAAACUGCUUUUGUACGGAACGAAACGGUCCUUUCUAAUACAAGGGGCUAAUGACGGUACCGUAAGAAUAAGCACCGGCUAACUACGU